CAAUAAGCGGAGGAAAAGAAACUAACAAGGAUUCCCCUAGUAGCGGCGAGCGAACCGGGAAGAGCUCAAAUUUAAAAUCUGGCGUCCUUCGAGGCGUCCGAGUUGUAAUCUACAGAAGUGUUUUCCGUGCCGGACCGUGUCCAAGUCCCUUGAGAAUAGAGGUAUCAAAGAGGGUGACAUAUCCCGUACUUGACAGCAGACAGACCGGUGCUCUGUGAUACACUUUACUACGUAGUACGAGUUGUGUGGGAAUGCAGCUCAAUAAUGGGUGGUAAAUUCCAUCUAAAGCUAAAUAUACGCGAGAGACCGAUAGCGAACUAGUACCGUGAGGGAAUGAUGAAAAGCACUUAGGAAAGAGAGUUAAAGCAGUACGUGAAAUUGUUGAGGAGGGGAUGAUUGAAGUCAGUCGUGUCUGUUGGUCUCAGCUGGUUCUGCCGGUGUAUUACCAACAGACGGGUCAACAUCAGUUCUUGAGCGGUGGAAAUAAGGUAUGANGGGAACGUAGCCUCCCUCCCCGGGGAGGUGUUUUAUAGGCCCCCUUUUAAGUUUGACAUUUAACACCUUAGNCCUUGGAAAA
rnacentral:rRNA from 1 species